GCCCUCGGUGGCUCAGAUGGACAGAUGGAUAGAGCGUCUGCCAUGUAAGCAGGAGAUCCCGGGUUCGAGUCCCGGUCAGGGCA